AGAGUUUGAUCCUGGCUCAGAUUGAACGCUGGCGGCAUGCUUUACACAUGCAAGUCGAACGGUAACAGGGAGCUUGCUCCGCUGACGAGUGGCGAACGGGUGAGUAAUGCAUCGGAACGUACCCAGUCGUGGGGGAUAACGUAGCGAAAGUUACGCUAAUACCGCAUACGUCCUGAGGGAGAAAGCGGGGGACCGAAAGGCCUCGCGCGAUUGGAGCGGCCGAUGUCGGAUUAGCUAGUUGGUAGGGUAAAGGCCUACCAAGGCGACGAUCCGUAGCGGGUCUGAGAGGAUGAUCCGCCACACUGGGACUGAGACACGGCCCAGACUCCUACGGGAGGCAGCAGUGGGGAAUUUUGGACAAUGGGCGAAAGCCUGAUCCAGCCAUGCCGCGUGAGUGAAGAAGGCCUUCGGGCUGUAAAGCUCUUUCAGCCGGAAAGAAAUCGCACAGGAUAAUACUCUGUGUGGAUGACGGUACCGGAAGAAGAAGCACCGGCUAACUACGUGCCAGCAGCCGCGGUAAUACGUAGGGUGCGAGCGUUAAUCGGAAUUACUGGGCGUAAAGCGUGCGCAGGCGGUUAUGUAAGACAGAUGUGAAAUCCCCGGGCUCAACCUGGGAACUGCGUUUGUGACUGCAUAACUAGAGUACGGCAGAGGGAGGUGGAAUUCCGCGUGUAGCAGUGAAAUGCGUAGAUAUGCGGAGGAACACCGAUGGCGAAGGCAGCCUCCUGGGCCAGUACUGACGCUCAUGCACGAAAGCGUGGGGAGCAAACAGGAUUAGAUACCCUGGUAGUCCACGCCCUAAACGAUGUCGACUAGUUGUUCGGUGAGGAGACUCAUUGAGUAACGCAGCUAACGCGUGAAGUUGACCGCCUGGGGAGUACGGCCGCAAGGUUAAAACUCAAAGGAAUUGACGGGGACCCGCACAAGCGGGGGAUGAUGUGGAUUAAUUCGAUGCAACGCGAAAAACCUUACCCACCUUUGACAUGUACGGAAUUUGCCAGAGAUGGCUUAGUGGCUCGAAAGAGAACCGUAACACAGGUGCUGCAUGGCUGUCGUCAGCUUCGUGUCGUGAGAUGUUGGGUUAAGUCCCGCAACGAGCGCAACCCUUGUCAUUAGUUGCUACAUUCAGUUGGGCACUCUAAUGAGACUGCCGGUGACAAACCGGAGGAAGGUGGGGAUGACGUCAAGUCCUCAUGGCCCUUAUAGGUGGGGCUACACACGUCAUACAAUGGCCGGUACAAAGGGCUGCCAACCCGCGAGGGGGAGCUAAUCCCAUAAAACCGGUCGUAGUCCGGAUCGCAGUCUGCAACUCGACUGCGUGAAGUCGGAAUCGCUAGUAAUCGUGGAUCAGAAUGUCACGGUGAAUACGUUCCCGGGUCUUGUACACACCGCCCGUCACACCAUGGGAGCGGGUUCUGCCAGAAGUAGUUAGCCUAACCGCAAGGAGGGCGAUUACCACGGCAGGGUUCGUGACUGGGGUGAAGUCGUAACAAGGUAGCCGUAUCGGAAGGUGCGGUUGGAUCAC
rnacentral:rRNA from 1 species